UACGUAGGUGGCGAGCGUUGUCCGGAUUUAUUGGGCGUAAAGCGCGCGCAGGCGGUCGCGUAAGUCUGCUGUGAAAUCUCCCUGGCUCAACCUGGAGGGGGCGGCGGAGACUGCGGGACUGGAGGGACCUAGAGGCCGGUGGAAUUCCCGGUGUAGUGGUGAAAUGCGUAGAUAUUGGGAGGAACACCGGUGGCGAAGGCGGCCCCCUGGACCGGUACUGACGCUGAGGCGCGAAAGCGUGGGUAGCAAACGGG
rnacentral:rRNA from 1 species